rnacentral:rRNA from 1 species
CAGACAAACUCCGAAUGCCAAUUAAUUUAACUUGGGAGUCAGAACAUGGGUGAUAAGGUCCGUGUUCGAAAGGGAAACAGCCCAGACCACCAGCUAAGGUCCCAAAAUAUAUGUUAAGUGGAAAAGGAUGUGGCGUUGCCCAGACAACUAGGAUGUUGGCUUAGAAGCAGCCAUCAUUUAAAGAGUGCGUAAUAGCUCACUAGUCGAGUGACACUGCGCCGAAAAUGUACCGGGGCUAAACAUAUUACCGAAGCUGUGGAUUGUCCUUUGGACAAUGGUAGGAGAGCGUUCUAAGGGCGUUGAAGCAUGAUCGUAAGGACAUGUGGAGCGCUUAGAAGUGAGAAUGCCGGUGUGAGUAGCGAAAGACGGGUGAGAAUCCCGUCCACCGAUUGACUAAGGUUUCCAGAGGAAGGCUCGUCCGCUCUGGGUUAGUCGGGUCCUAAGCUGAGGCCGACAGGCGUAGGCGAUGGAUAACAGGUUGAUAUUCCUGUACCACCUAUAAUCGUUUUAAUCGAUGGGGGGACGCAGUAGGAUAGGCGAAGCGUGCGAUUGGAUUGCACGUCUAAGCAGUAAGGCUGAGUAUUAGGCAAAUCCGGUA